rnacentral:tRNA from 1 species
UAGAGUGUAGUGCAUUAGGUUGCACAAAGAAUUUUGAGUUCUUUAGUAUAUGUUCAAGUCCUAUAUUUCUAG